UACGGAGGGUGCGAGCGUUGUUCGGAAUCACUGGGCGUAAAGGGCGUGUAGGCGGUCCGCUAAGUCUGAUGUGAAAGCCCGGGGCUCACCCCCGGAAGGGCAUUGGAAACUGACGGACUCGAGUCCCGAAGAGGAGGGUGGAAUUCCUGGUGUAGCGGUGAAAUGCGUAGAUAUCAGGAGGAACACCGGUGGCGAAGGCGGCCCUCUGGACGGUGACUGACGCUGGAGAACGCGAAAGCCGUGGGGAGCAAACAGG
rnacentral:rRNA from 1 species